AGCGAACGCUGGCGGCAGGCCUAACACAUGCAAGUCGAACGAACCCUUCGGGGUUAGUGGCGGACGGGUGAGUAACACGUGGGAACGUACCUUUAGGUUCGGAACAACACAGGGAAACUUGUGCUAAUGCCGAAUGUGCCCUUCGGGGGAAAGAUUUAUCGCCUUUAGAGCGGCCCGCGUCUGAUUAGCUUGUUGGUGAGGUAAAGGCUCACCAAGGCUUCGAUCAGUAGCUGGUCUGAGAGGAUGAUCAGCCACACUGGGACUGAGACACGGCCCAGACUCCUACGGGAGGCAGCAGUGGGGAAUCUUGCGCAAUGGGCGAAAGCCUGACGCAGCCAUGCCGCGUGAAUGAUGAAGGUCUUAGGAUUGUAAAAUUCUUUCACCGGGGAAGAUAAUGACGGUACCCGGAGAAGAAGCCCGGCUAACUUCGUG
rnacentral:rRNA from 1 species